ensembl:lncRNA
UGCGUUGUUUGCACAUGCCAACUUUUGUUUUUGUGUUUGCUUCUUGUCCAGGCAGAAGCCAGGUUUGGGUGAGGAAUCACUCAAACUUGUUCUCAAGAAAGGAUGAGAAACACAGACAGUACUUUCAUAUUUCCACCCUCCUGUCUCAAGACCGUGCCUUGCAUUGA